UUGAACGCUGGCGGCAUGCCUUACACAUGCAAGUCGAACGGUAGAGUAGCAAUACUUGAGAGUGGCGAACGGGUGAGUAAUAUAUCGGAACGUGCCCAGUCGUGGGGGAUAACGUAGAGAAAUUUACGCUAAUACCGCAUACGAUCUAAGGAUGAAAGCGGGGGAUUCGCAAGAACCUCGCGCGAUUGGAGCGGCUGAUAUCAGAUUAGGUUGUUGGUGAGGUAAAAGCUCACCAAGCCGACGAUCUGUAGCUGGUCUGAGAGGACGGCCAGCCACACUGGGACUGAGACACGGCCCAGACUCCUACGGGAGGCAGCAGUGGGGAAUUUUGGACAAUGGGCGCAAGCCUGAUCCAGCAAUGCCGCGUGCAGGAUGAAGGCCUUCGGGUUGUAAACUGCUUUUGUACGGAACGAAACGGUGAGCUCUAAUACAGUUUGCUAAUGACGGUACCGUAAGAAUAAGCACCGGCUAACUACGUG
rnacentral:rRNA from 1 species